GUGCCAGCAGCCGCGGUAAUACGGAAGGUCCAGGCGUUAUCCGGAUUUAUUGGGUUUAAAGGGAGCGUAGGCGGCUUGGUAAGCGUGUUGUGAAAUGUCGGUGCUCAACAUCGUCACUGCAGCGCGAACUGCCUGGCUUGAGUGCGCGGAAAGUAGGCGGAAUUUGUGGUGUAGCGGUGAAAUGCUUAGAUAUCACGAAGAACUCCGAUUGCGAAGGCAGCUUACUGUAGCGCAACUGACGCUGAAGCUCGAAAGUGUGGGUAUCGAACAGGAUUAGAUACCCUGGUAGUCCACACGGUAAACGAUGGAUGCUCGCUGUACUGCCUUCGGGUAGUGUGGCCAAGCGAAAGCGUUAAGCAUCCCACCUGGGGAGUACGCCGGCAACGGUGAAACUCAAAGGAAUUGACGGGGGCCCGCACAAGCGGAGGAACAUGUGGUUUAAUUCGAUGAUACGCGAGGAACCUUACCCGGGCUUGAACUGCCAGCGAACGAUACAGAGAUGUUGAGGCCCUUCGGGGCGCUGGUGGAGGUGCUGCAUGGUUGUCGUCAGCUCGUGCCGUGAGGUGUCGGCUUAAGUGCCAUAACGAGCGCAACCCCUGUCGUUAGUUGCCAUCAGGUCAUGCUGGGCACUCUAGUGAUACUGCCACCGCAAGGUGUGAGGAAGGUGGGGAUGACGUCAAAUCAGCACGGCCCUUACGUCCGGGGCUACACACGUGUUACAAUGGCGCAUACAGAGAGUUGGUUGUUCGUAAGGAUGAUCUAAUCAUUAAAAUGCGUCGUAGUUCGGAUUGGGGUCUGCAACCCGACCCCAUGAAGCUGGAUUCGCUAGUAAUCGCGCAUCAGCCAUGGCGCGGUGAAUACGUUCCCGGGCCUUGUACACACCGCCCGU
rnacentral:rRNA from 1 species